AAUGAACGCUGGCGGCGUGCUUAACACAUGCAAGUCGAGCGCGAAAGGGGCAACCCGAGUAGAGCGGCGAACGGGUGAGUAACGCGUGGGUGAUUUGCCUCCGAGUGGGGAACGAACACCGGGAAACGUGGUGCUAAUACCGCAUGACAUCCUCGGGUCGUACUGGGGAGUCAAAGCUGGGGACCGCAAGGCCUAGCGCUUGGAGAGAAGCCCGCGUCCGAUUAGCUAGUUGGUGGGGAAUGGCCUACCAAGGCGACGAUCGGUAGCCGG
rnacentral:rRNA from 1 species